GGGUGGAUCAAUUGAGACAAGUUUAGACAAAUCUACCUGUUUUUCAAGACUUUUUUUAGUCCCAGAUAAUCCCAGAUAGUCCGUAUUCCCAUCCUUCACACGGGUGGGGUCGCAAGUUCAAUCCUUGCCGCGCCCACCA
rnacentral:tRNA from 1 species